UGAAACGUUAGAGCAAAAUACU
rnacentral:miRNA from 1 species